GAUGAACGCUAGCUACAGGCUUAACACAUGCAAGUCGAGGGGAAACGAUGAGAGAGCUUGCUCUCUUAGGUCGUCGACCGGCGCACGGGUGAGUAACGCGUAUCCAACCUGCCUCUGACCAAGGGAUAACCCGUCGAAAGUCGGACUAAUACCUUAUGCAGUCGUCGGAAGUCAUCUGAUGACGACGAAAGAUUUCAUCGGUGAGAGAUGGGGAUGCGUCUGAUUAGCUUGUUGGCGGGGUAACGGCCCACCAAGGCGACGAUCAGUAGGGGUUCUGAGAGGAAGGUCCCCCACAUUGGAACUGAGACACGGUCCAAACUCCUACGGGAGGCAGCAGUGAGGAAUAUUGGUCAAUGGACGAGAGUCUGAACCAGCCAAGUAGCGUGCAGGAUGACGGCCCUAUGGGUUGUAAACUGCUUUUAUGCGGGGAUAAAGUGAGGGACGUGUCCUUCAUUGCAGGUACCGC
rnacentral:rRNA from 1 species